rnacentral:rRNA from 1 species
CCUACGGGCGGCAGCAGUGGGGAAUAUUGCACAAUGGGGGAAACCCUGAUGCAGCGACGCCGCGUGAGUGAGGAAGUACUUCGGUAUGUAAAGCUCUAUUAGCAGGGAAGAAAAUGACGGUACUUGACUAAGAAGCAACGGCUAACACCGUGCCAGCAGCCGCGGUAAUACGGAGGGGGCAAGCGUUAUCCGGAUUUACUGGGUGUAAAGGGAGCGUAGACGGCUAAUCAAGUCAGAAGUGAAAACCCAGGGCUCAACUUUGGGACUGCCUUUGAAACUGAGUAGCUAGAGUGCAGGAGAGGUAGGCGGAAUUCCUGGUGUAGCGGUGAAAUGCGUAGAUAUUAGGAGGAACACCGGUGGCGAAGGCGGCUUACUGGACUGUAACUGACGCUGAGGCUCGAAAGCGUGGGGAGCAAACAGGAUUAGAUACCCCAGUAGUC